AUUGAACGCUGGCGGCAGGCCUAACACAUACAAGUCGAACUAGUGGCGGCCGGGUGAGUAAUGUCUGGGAAACUGCCUGAUGGAGGGGGAUAACUACUGGAAACGGUAGCUAAUACCGCAUACCAUCAGAUGUGCCCAGAUGGGAUUAGCUAGUUGGUGGGGUAACGCUUCACCAAGGCGACUAUCCCUAGCUUGUCUUAGAGGAUGACCAUCCACACUGGAACUGAGACAGGGUCAAGACUCCUACGGGAGGCAGCAGUGGGGAAUAUUGCACAAUGGGCGCAAGCCUGAUGCAGCCAUGCCGCGUGUAUGAAGAAGGCCGUCGGGGUGUAAAGUACUUUCAGCGGGGAGGCGUUACCCGCAGAAGAAGCACCGGCUAACUCCGUGCCAGCAGCCGAGGUAAUAC
rnacentral:rRNA from 1 species